rnacentral:rRNA from 1 species
AGAGCGAACGCUGGCGGCAUGCUUAACACAUGCAAGUCGCACGGGCAGCAAUGUCAGUGGCGGACGGGUGAGUAACGCGUAGGUAUCUAUCCUUGGGUGGGGGACAACGGCUGGAAACGGCUGCUAAUACCGCAUGAUAACUGAGGUUUAAAGGCGCAAGUCGCCUGGGGAGGAGCCUGCGUACGAUUAGCUAGUUGGUGGGGUAAAGGCCUACCAAGGCAACGAUCGUUAGCUGGUCUGAGAGGAUGAUCAGCCACAUUGGGACUGAGACACGGCCCAAACUCCUACGGGAGGCAGCAGUGGGGAAUAUUGGACAAUGGGCGAAAGCCUGAUCCAGCAAUGCCGCGUGUGUGAAGAAGGUCUUCGGAUUGUAAAGCACUUUCGACAGGGACGAUGAUGACGGUACCUGUAGAAGAAGCCCCGGCUAACUUCGUAGCCAGCAGCCGC